AUGGAUGGUCUGACCGUCGGCAGUGAUGUGACCCAGACUGACAAACUGUGGGAACAUGAGGGCAACAAGGCCACGAUGAGCUGCAACCACACCAAGGGCGCUAGCUACUUCCAGAUGUACUGGUUCCGACAGCUGCCGGGCCGAGCUAUGGAGCUCAUCGUGUUCACUACUACAGCCAAGGCGCAGCAUGAGUUUGGAAAGUUCAGUCAAGACAAGUUCGCAGCCACCAAACCCAACGCUGAAAGCGGAACGUUCACGGUGAUGAACCUGGAGGCAGACGAUAAAGGCCUGUAUUUCUGUGCUGUGAGUGAACACAGUGAUGUAGACGCACGCUGA